GCUACUGUGCCAGCUGGUGAAUGGCUCGGCUCGAGAGCCGACGACGGACGUGCCAAGCUGCGAAAAGCUCGUGGGACCCGCAUGGAGGGAAAGAACGCGAGAUCUCCCAAUCGGAAUCCGUUCAACAAUUGCCACGCGCAAUAGGGAACGCCCUGAAUUGAAACAUCUCAGUAAGGGCAGGAAAAGAACGCAACAGCGAUGUCGUCAGUAACCGCGAGUAAACGCGACACAGCCCAAACCGAAGGUCUUCAGACCAAUGUGGUGUUCGGGUUGACAACCAAAUCUCGACACUCUCUCAGAAGUCUCCUGGAACGGAGCGUGAAACAGGGUGACAACCCCGUAUGAGAGAGCAGUACGGAUGGCGUCAAAUCCAGAGUAGUAGGGGUCGGAUAUCCUCUAUGAACAUCUCAGGCAUCCCCUGAGAAGGCUAAACACUCCUCGAGACCGAUAGCGAACAAGUAGCGUGAGCGAACGCUGAAAAGCACCCCGAGAAGGGCGGUGCAAUAGGGCCUGAAAUCAGCUGGCGAUCGAGCGACAGGGCGUACAAGGCGAUUCUUGAAACAACCGAGGAGCGAUCCUCUAGUAGGAAGAGAAUCGAGCCGGCGUCGUGUCGUGCGUUUUGAAAAACGACCCAGGGAGUGCACUUGAUUGGCGAGUCUAACCGGCGAACCCGGGAAGGCGCAGGGAAACCGAUACGGCCGCAGCAUUGCGAGGGCCACCGUGUUCAAGCGCGGGGAGUCAAUCAGGUGCGACCCGAAACCAGGCGAUCUACGCGCGAGCAAGGUGAAGCGUGGCGAAAGCCACGUGGAGGCCUGUUAGAGUUGGUGUUCUACAAUACCCUCUCGUGACUCGUGUGUAGGGGUGAAAGGCCCAUCGAGCCUGGCAACAGCUGGUUCCAACCGAAACAUGUCGAAGCAUGACCUCNGGGAGUCCGGUGCGCGGGGUAAGCCUGUGUACCGUGAGGGGAACAACCCAGAGCCGGGUUAAGGUCCCAAAGUGUAGAUUAAGUGCGAUUCGAAGGUGGUCUCAAGCCCUAAACAGCCGGGAGGUGAGCUUAGAAGCAGCUACCCGCUAAGAAAAGCGUAACAGCUUACCGGCCGAGGUUUGAGGCGCCCAAAAUGAUCGGGGCUCAAAUCUACCACCGAGACCUGGCCGUGCCCUUGACAGGGGCAACCGCGUAGGUUGGCGUACUGGUCGGACGGAAGCCCGGGCGAGAGCUCGUGUGGACCGUCCAGUAACGACAAUCCUGGUCACAGUAGCAGCGAUAGUCGGGUGAGAACCUCGACGGCCUGAAGAGCAAGGGUUCCUCGGCACUGCCGUUCAGCCGAGGGUUAGCCGGUCCUAAGGUGUACCACAACUUGACUACACCGACGGGAAGCUGGUUAAUAUUCCAGCGCCAUCGUGCAGUAAACGCCGACGCCGUGUGGAACGCUGAGCCGGGCACUCGCCCGGUCGAAUCGUGGAAACUCGUGGACGCCGUCACGGCACGAAGCGAGCGAAACGCGAAACAGCGAAAGUCAGCCGUACAUAGGGCCCGUGAAAAGGCAAGCACGAUGUCCGUACCGAGAUCCGACACAGGUGCUCUGCCAGCGCAAGGCAAGGCCUGUCGGGAGAACCGACGUUAGGGAAUUCGGCAAGUUAGUCCCGUACCUUCGGAAGAAGGGAUGCCUGCUCUCUACGGAGCAGGUCGCAGUGACUCGGGCGCUCCGACUGUCUAGUAACAACACAGGUGACCGCAAAUCCGCAAGGACUCGUACGGUCACUGAAUCCUGCCCAGUGCGGGUAUCUGAACACCUCGUACAAGAGGACGAAGGACCCGUCAACGGCGGGGGUAACUAUGACCCUCUUAAGGUAGCGUAGUACCUUGCCGCUUCAGUAGCGGCUUGCAUGAAUGGAUAAACGAGAGCGCCACUGUCCCAACGUUGGACCCGGUGAACUGUACGUUCCAGUGCGGAGUCUGGAGACCCCCAAGGGGAAGCGAAGACCCUAUAGAGCUUUACUGCAGGCUGUCGCUGAGACGUGGUCGCCGAUGUGCAGCAUAGGUAGGAGACGUUACACAGGUACGUGCGCCAGCACGCCACCGAGUCAGCAUUGAAAUACUACCCGUCGGUGACUGCGACUCUCACUCCGGGAGGAGUACACCGGUAGCCGGGCAGUUUGACUGGGGCGGUACGCGCUCGAAAAGAUAUCGAGCGCGCCCGAAGAUCAUCUCAGCCGGGUCGGGAAUCCGGCGAAGAGCGCAAGAGCACAAGAUGGUCUGACAGUGUUCUUCCCAACGAGGAACGCUGACGCGAAAGCGUGGUCUAGCGAACCUACGAGGUUCCGGAAUGGGACCCGUAGAUGACAGAAAAGCUACCUUAGGGAUAACAGAGUCGUCACUCGCAAGAGCACAUAUCGACCGAGUGGCUUGCUACCUCGAUGUCGGUUCCCUCCAUCCUGCCCGUGCAGAAGCGGGCAAGGGUGAGGUUGUUCGCCUAUUAAAGGAGGUCGUGAGCUGGGUUUAGACCGUCGUGAGACAGGUCGGCUGCUAUCUAUUGGGGGUGUGAGGUACCUGACGUGAACGAACGUAUAGUACGAGAGGAACUACGUUUGGUCGCCACUGGUGUAUCGGUUGUCCGGAAGGGCAGAUGCCGAGUAGCCACGCGACACGGGGUAAGAGCUGAACGCAUCUAAGCUCGAAACCCACAUGGAAAAGAGGUACCACAGAGGUCACUCGUAGAAGACGAGUUCGAUAGACUCGGGGUGUACGCACCGAGGCAACG
rnacentral:rRNA from 1 species